AUGAUYGGUGCUUGCACCGAGAUUCAACAUGGAACGAGUGGCGGACGGGUGAGUAACACGUGGGUAACCUGCCCUUAAGUGGGGGAUAACAUUUGGAAACAGAUGCUAAUACCGCAUAGAUCCAAGAACCGCAUGGUUCUUGGCUGAAAGAUGGCGUAAGCUAUCGCUUUUGGAUGGACCCGCGGCGUAUUAGCUAGUUGGUGAGGUAAUGGCUCACCAAGGCGAUGAUACGUAGCCGAACUGAGAGGUUGAUCGGCCACAUUGGGACUGAGACACGGCCCAAACUCCUACGGGAGGCAGCAGUAGGGAAUCUUCCACAAUGGACGCAAGUCUGAUGGAGCAACGCCGCGUGAGUGAAGAAGGCUUUCGGGUCGUAAAACUCUGUUGUUGGAGAAGAAUGGUCGGCAGAGUAACUGUUGUCGGCGUGACGGUAUCCAACCAGAAAGCCACGGCUAACUACGUGCCAGCAGCCGCGGUAAUACGUAGGUGGCAAGCGUUAUCCGGAUUUAUUGGGCGUAAAGCGAGCGCAGGCGGUUUUUUAAGUCUGAUGUGAAAGCCCUCGGCUUAACCGAGGAAGCGCAUCGGAAACUGGGAAACUUGAGUGCAGAAGAGGACAGUGGAACUCCAUGUGUAGCGGUGAAAUGCGUAGAUAUAUGGAAGAACACCAGUGGCGAAGGCGGCUGUCUGGUCUGUAACUGACGCUGAGGCUCGAAAGCAUGGGUAGCGAACA
rnacentral:rRNA from 2 species